AGUUAUCUCGCAGAGCUGUGUUUGAAUCAUGGGCGAUUCUGGGUUCUCAAUAUUCAUCGUUUGCAGUUUGUUUCUACAAAUCCAAACAAUCGCAGAAGACCACGACUGGACAAAUUUGAAAACAAUCGCAGAAGAAAACACCUGGACA